UAAGAAUAAAAUAUUAUAACUUAAUUGAAUAAAGUUAAAUUUGUUUGCAUGUAAUUAAUUUUGCAAUCAUUACUCUCUUUGUUUUCUUCUUCUUUAUAAUAUGUAUUGCUUCAGAUCUUUCCCAAAAUACGUGGUAGCGGCAGAGAGUGACACGUGGACCUAAAAAAGGAUUCACUCACGAAAAUCAAUUAAGUCUUGAGCAAGGAAGUGCAUCUCAUGGAGUGAGCCUCCCGGAGGAGAGCAUAAGACACGCCUUUACCCUCUGGGAGGCUAGAACUGUCACAAGGCAUCUCCGAGAAGGAAAGAGAUUGUUCGAACAGUCACUUCCCAUUUAAUGUCGCAUGGGAAAAAUGUAUCAGAACCUCCAUAAGAGGAUUUGACAGAUGGUGUAAGCCCCUUGUACAGCGAUUACACAACAAUUGACGAGUCUAGUGACGGCUACAUUAUGAGAACUCACAUCAAUCAAGGGAGGAUAAAAGAUCAUAUCCACUUAACCCCUAAGAUACCUACCGUAUAGGUCAUGCAUUUCCUAUUUUGUAUCUGUUAGGAAUUUGUGCCCCUAAGAGGCUAACACAAAAAGACAAGUGAUCCCUUUCUAGGAAUCCCCCGAAAAACACUAUAAAUACCCCAUAAACAGAAUGGAAAAGGGGUCGAUCGAUGAAUUAAAGAAUCAAAGAGAGUAAAGAAGAGGGAGAGAGAUUCACCAAGAACAUUCUCUGUAAAAACACUCUCAUAAAUAAUAGAGACUCGUGGACUAAGGCUCAUUAAUGCCUUAACCACGUAAAAAUCACCUGCAUUAAACUUUCUUCAGCUUUUCUCAAUCUACUAUUUAAUUGGUUGCCGAAAAUUUCGGUCAACAUUUUGGUGCUUUCAUUGAGAGCUGAAGGAAUCGUCGUCAGAUAGACAACAAUCAAAGGAAAAGUCAGAUUAACAAUGGUGGAAACUCGUAACAAUACACGUCAGCCCCGUCCUCCUCAGGAUGCUCAAAACCUAAAAGGCGAAGAAGUAGCCUCAAGAGUGAAUGUGGGCUCUGAGGAGCGAGAUGAGGCGAACGACGAAGAAUACGAAGAGAACUUCAAAGGGUAUGACACUUACGACGAAGGUAGCUAUACAGAACUACUGGUCUUCAGGCAAAAGACGGUUGAUCAUGAAGUCGAGCUUGCAGCUCAAAAAGAACAGAAUAGGGGGAUGUAAGAGGUGAUGGUUGACAUGCAAAAAGCCAUGGAGAUUAUAGGAAUACACAUACACCUUAAGGCCAUCGCAGUAGGACUUGAGGAAAUACCGGAAGAGUCCUCGCCGAGUACUUAGAAACCCAAUACCAGGGAACCAAGCCCUAUACGGUACCCUUCCGAGGAAAAUCCUGGAAAAAUCCAACUUCAAUCCCUGGGAAAGAAAAGGUGCAGGAUCCGCAGAAAGUCUGCUCGGAUUUCCUGAAAGGGAAAUGUCCGCAGAGGGGCAAGCUCCCUCGAGUGAGUCUUGGCCCUCAGGACCAAGAGGAUCGAAAAAGCGUAUUCGUGCACCAGGAACCCGGAGAGAGAGGGAGGAAAAACCGGAGGUACCCUCCAGUUGACCUAAGAGAAAAAAUCAACGAAAAACAUGGUGACUUACGAGAACAUCUAAAAAAAAAAGAAACACGCACCGGGAGUUUCCGCGGGCACGCUAAAUGAAGGAAUUCUGGCAAAGUUAGCGAUACUACGCAAAGACAUUGCUAGGGUCUCCUAGAGGCAAAAAGGGGACGACUCAGAUUCUGAUUGCGAGGACCGGGAACCAUGCGCCCGACACAUACUGGAUGCAAAGCUCCCCAAUAAUUUUAAGAUGCCCGAGAUGGCGGCAUAUACCGGAGACUCGGACCCCAGUGACUAUCCCGUUUCAAUCGGGUGAUGACUGUCAUGAGGGUCAGCAAUGACGCAAAGUGUUUAUACUUUUCGCUAACGCUGAGCGGGUCCGUUGAAGAAUGGUUCAAAAAGUUGGAACCCGGAUCAGUAGACUGCUGGAACAAACUACAAGUCAGCUUUCGGAGACAAUUUGUGGUAGCGAGAAGAUUAACCUUGAAGUUAGCGCCCUAACUAACAUAAAACAAUUGUCUGCGGAAACUCUAAAGAACUUCAUAAAAAGAUUCAAAGAAGAGGCUUCGAAGACCAAGAAGGUGGACGACAGACAACAGCUUGCGCUCCUCCAAGUUGGGAUCGGGACGGGGACUCCUUUCUGGAAUGAACUACAACAGGAGGAAGCAGCCAAUUUCCAAGAUUUCCAGAAGAGCGUCCAAAAAUACAUCAAUUUGAAAGAAGCCCAAAUAGUGGCUUACGGAGGAUACUACCUGACCGGAGUAUCAAGAUACGCACCCAGAGUUCAACUCUCGGGAGCCAUGCCUCCGGCCACUCCUCAAAUGAGCGGCAUACAAUUCUCCGCUACCCCAGGAUAUAAUCAAAGCUUAGCCUUGGCUCCCGCAUCAUCACGCUUUGGGACGCCCGUGAGUAACCCCUCGGGGAUGAAUGGUCAAGCUCCAUCUCAGUCCGCGCCUGCCACCAACCUAACAGAACCCCCUCAGAGCUCCCAAAGCAAAAGGUCCUCAAAGGGUAGCAAUCGGACUAAGGAUAAGCGACAACUGAGGGGAUACACCCCUCAGUAUACUCAAUACACGAAGCUUAUGGACACAGGAGCGGGUAUACUUUGCCACCAAGCAAAAAUUACUGGAAACCUCCUCCCCUGUAUAGGGAUAAUUCCCGAAUGGAUCCCAGUAAGGUGUGAGUAUCACAACAACAUUGGUCAUAGUACCAAUGAAUGCAAGAACUUGAAAGAUGAAAUUGAGAACCUAAUCCGGCUAGAUCAUUUAUAUGAAUAGAUUAAGAACCGACUAUCCCAUCUCAACCCGGCUCCAAUAGGAGGCCCGUUACCUCAAGGAGCUCCAAGGGGUAUACCCAGAGAACCAGCACCCGUUGUACCCCCCGGAGGAACAAUCUUUCAACAAGUCCCUAGAUUUUCACCAAGACCAAAUGGGAGAGUGGCCAUGAUCUCCGGUGGGCCCCAUAUCGGGGGAACCACCAGAAACGAACUAAAGCGCUAUGCUGGGGCCAUAAAACACGAUGAAGUGUGGGAAGUCAUCCAACUCCCAGCGCAAAGGCCCCGGCUCAUGGACCAGUCCAUUACAUUCACAGAAGAAGACGCCAAACUGGGGCGUUUCCCUGACCAUCCGUGAAUUUACUGUUCAAAGAAGCCUUAACGGCCAUAGGCCUCACGGACAGGGAUCUAUCGCCCAGCGGCUCCCAGCUCACAUGGUUUAAUGGGACAACACUUAUCCCAAUGAGGAAAGUAAGACUCCCUGUAUAAUAUAUAUUUAUAUAUAGAAAAUACCAUUUUCACUACCUAUUCUUUCAUACCAAGGUUUUCUUGCGGUGGCCAUAGCCAGCACAAUCUCCAAAAUCAUCAUCAUUGUUAUCGUUAUUUUUUUUUUCAAGUUUCAAAACUAUACACUAUUAUCCCCAUCAUCCUCUCAUAAAUAUAUAUAUAUACAUAUAUAUCUCCUUCAUUAUAUCGACAUCACCACUACCAUUAUUUUACGUUCAAGUUUUAGUUCCUAACUAGAUUUCGGGAGUUAAGGUAAUUUUAUAAUUUUAGGCUUGUAGAUUCAAAGUUAAAGUUUCAUAUAUAAAUAUAUAUUAUACCUCUGUGAUAUUUUCUAAUUAAUAAGUGUAACAUCUAGGUUUGUCAUAGGAAAAUUAUUGUUUCUCAAGGAUCACUCUUAUUGCAAUCAAGGCUAGGACUCCACAUUCGAGACCAAGGUAACUGAAAGUCUAGAAUGCCGUUGGCGAGUGGAACUUUGGACGCUUGUGUGUGUGAACUCGCUGAGGACCAUAUAACUGCGGGUAGUCUAGGGCGCUCUAUUUAUUUAUUUACGCUAUUAAAUUUAUGUCGCAAUUAUUUUAGUUAUUAUUUAUUAUGUCUUUUGUACGAAAACUGGCCAGUUGUGAACAUUUUCAAGUAUUAAAUAAAAAUGCGACAUAGUGAUUUUCCGCGUUUAA